rnacentral:tRNA from 1 species
AAGGGAGACCUAAUUCGGGUAGAAGACGAAAAAAUAGUAGUCGAAACCAAGAAUCAAUCCCAAAAGGUCGAAGCGAGGCAAGAUUGGCUUUCAAACUAGGUUCUGGGUUCAAACAAGACCUGAAUCAGGAACAAGGGCUAUUAGCUCAGGUGGUUAGAGCGCACCCCUGAUAAGGGUGAGGUCCCUGGUUCGAGUCCAGGAUGGCCCACCUGCACAGGUGGCAAAAACAAAGAAGCGAGGAAUCAGCACCUUAUCUUACUCAUAUAGUAAGAGAGAAUGCUGGCUCUGAGUAAAGAGUCCAGAGGAACCUUGAAAACUGCAUAGAGCUAGGUGAAAAAGCCAAAAAAGAAGACCGCAA